GCCUGCCCGGUGACCCUGGGUUAAACGGCCGCGGUAUUUUAACCGUGCGAAGGUAGCGCAAUCACUUGUCCUUUAAAUGAAGACCUGUAUGAAUGGCUAGACGAGGGCUUAGCUGUCUCCUCCCCCCGGUCAAUGAAAUUGAUCUCCCCGUGCAGAAGCGGGGAUGCUAACAUAAGACGAGAAGACCCUAUGGAGCUUUAGACACUAGACAGCCUACGUUAAACUUCCCCUCUAAUAGGGAAAAAACAUUGUGGCUCCUGUCUCUCCUGUCUUCGGUUGGGGCGACCGCGGAGGAUAAAAGAGCCUCCAUGUGGACCGAGGUUACUAAUCUCACAGCUGAGAGCUGCAGCUCCAAGCACCAGAAAUUCUGACCAAAAUGAUCCGGCACACUGCCGAUUAACGGAACAAGUUACCCUAGGGAUAACAGCGCAAUCCUCUCCCAGAGUCCCUAUCGACGAGGGGGUUUACGACCUCGAUGUUGGAUCAGGACAUCCUAUUGGUGCAGCCGCUAAUAAGGGUUCGUUUGUUCAACGAUUAAAGUCCU
rnacentral:rRNA from 1 species